rnacentral:rRNA from 1 species
AUUGAACGCUGGCGGCAGGCCUAACACAUGCAAGUCGAGCGGAUGAAGAGAGCUUGCUCUCUGAUUUAGCGGCGGACGGGUGAGUAAUGCCUAGGAAUCUGCCUGGUAGUGGGGGAUAACGUUCCGAAAGGAACGCUAAUACCGCGUACGUCCUACGGGAGAAAGCAGGGGACCUUCGGGCCUUGCGCUAUCAGAUGAGCCUAGGUCGGAUUAGCUAGUUGGUGAGGUAAUGGCUCACCAAGGCGACGAUCCGUAACUGGUCUGAGAGGAUGAUCAGUCACACCGGAACUGAGACACGGUCCAGACUCCUACGGGAGGCAGCAGUGGGGAAUAUUGGACAAUGGGCGAAAGCCUGAUCCAGCCAUGCCGCGUGUGUGAAGAAGGUCUUCGGAUUGUAAAGCACUUUAAGUUGGGAGGAAGGGCAUUAACCUAAUACGUUAGUGUUUUGACGUUACCGACAGAAUAAGCACCGGCUAACUUCGUGCCAGCCGCCGCAGUAAGAC